rnacentral:tRNA from 1 species
GGAGGCGUGGCUGAGCGGUCGAAAGCGGCUUCCUGCUAAGAAGUCGAGGGGGAAACUCCUCCGAAGGUUCGAAUCCUUCCGCCUCCG